rnacentral:rRNA from 1 species
GAUGAACGCUGGCGGCGUGCCUAAUACAUGCAAGUCGAGCGAACAGAUGAGGAGCUUGCUCCUCUGACGUUAGCGGCGGACGGGUGAGUAACACGUGUAUAACCUACCUAUCAUACUGGUAUCACUUCGGGACACCGGAUCUUAUCCCGGAUAAUAUAUUGAACCGCAUGGUUCAAUAGUAAAAGUCGGCUUUUCUGUCACUUCUAGAUGGAUCCGCGCCGGAUUAGCUAGUUGGUACGGUAACGGCUUACCAAGGCAACCAGGCGUAGACGAACUGAGAGGCUGAUAGGCCACCCGAGAGCUGAGCCGCGGUCAAGACUCCUGCGGGAGGCCGCAGUAGGGUAUGUUCCGCAAUGGGCGAAAGCCUGACGGAGCAACGCGGCGUGAGUGAUGAAAGUCUUCGGAUCGUGAAACUCUGUUAUUAGGGAAGAACAACUGUGGAAGUAACUGUGCACGGCUUGACGGUACCUGGUCAGAAAGCAACGGCUAACUACGUG